rnacentral:rRNA from 1 species
GACGAACCGUGCGAACGUUAUUCGGAAUCAUUGGGCUUAAAGCGCGUGUAGGCGGAUUCGUGCGUCUGUCGUUGAAAUCCCCCGGCUCAACCGGGGAAGUGGCGCGGAUACGACGAGUCUGGAGGGGCAUAGGGGGACCUGGAACUUCCGGUGGAGCGGUGAAAUGCGUUGAGAUCGGAAGGAACAUCAGUGGCGAAAGCGACUUCCUGGACCAAUACUGACGCUCAUGUGCGAAAGCGUGGGGAGCAAACAGG